GACAAAUGAAAAUGGAAAGCCAACAUUCCAAAAUCUUUGGGGCAGAACAAAAGCAGUUCUAACAGGCAAGUUUAUACUGACAUGGGCCCUCUUCAAGAAACAAAUCUCAGGGUUGCCUGAGUGGCUCAGUUGGUUAAGCGUCUGGCUUGGACUCAGCCAGCAUAGGGACAGACAGGCCAGGGAAAGUGGUGACCCUAUAACCAUUCUGGAGAAUAACCUCUGGCAAUUUUUACCUUCUAGGAUUUGAUGGACCCUGGAGUCCCGCACAUACUGCUGAACAGCAUAGUCCUUCAGGUAGCCAUAGCCUCCAUGCAUCUGUAAAGCCUGGUUG